CGGGGCUAAUACCGGAUAACACAUGAAACCGCAUGGUUUCAUGAUGAAAGACGGUUUUGCUGUCACUUAUAGAUGGACCCGCGGCGUAUUAGCUAGUUGGUAAGGUAACGGCUUACCAAGGCAACGAUACGUAGCCGACCUGAGAGGGUGAUCGGCCACACUGGAACUGAGACACGGUCCAG
rnacentral:rRNA from 1 species